rnacentral:rRNA from 1 species
AACGGAUCGCAUGGCCUUGCGCCGGCGACGGUUCAUUCAAAUUUCUGCCCUAUCAACUUUCGAUGGUAAGGUAUUGGCUUACCAUGGUUUCAACGGGUAACGGGGAAUUAGGGUUCGAUUCCGGAGAGGGAGCCUGAGAAACGGCUACCACAUCCAAGGAAGGCAGCAGGCGCGCAAAUUACCCAAUCCCGACACGGGGAGGUAGUGACAAUAAAUACUGAUACAGGGCUCUUUUGGGUCUUGUAAUCGGAAUGAGUACAAUUUAAACCCCUUAACGAGGAACAAUUGGAGGGCAAGUCUGGUGCCAGCAGCCGCGGUAAUUCCAGCUCCAAUAGCGUAUAUUAAAGUUGUUGCAGUUAAAAAGCUCGUAGUUGAACCUUGGGCCUGGCUGGCCGGUCCGCCUCACCGCGUGUACUGGUCCGGCCGGGCCUUUCCUUCUGGAGAGCCCCAUGCCCUUCACUGGGUGUGCGGGGGAACCAGGACUUUUACUUUGAAAAAAUUAGAGUGUUCAAAGCAGGCCUUUGCUCGAAUACGUUAGCAUGGAAUAAUAGAAUAGGACGUGCGGUCCUAUUUUGUUGGUUUCUAGGACCGCCGUAAUGAUUAAUAGGGACAGUCGGGGGCAUCAGUAUUCAAUUGUCAGAGGUGAAAUUCUUGGAUUUAUUGAAGACUAACUACUGCGAAAGCAUUUGCCAAGGAUGUUUUCAUUAAUCAGUGAACGAAAGUUAGGGGAUCGAAGACGAUCAGAUACCGUCGUAGUCUUAACCGUAAACUAUGCCGACUAGGGAUCGGGCGAUGUUUCUAUCUUGACUCGCUCGGCACCUCACGAGAAAUCAAAGUU